rnacentral:rRNA from 1 species
UACGUAGGGUGCAAGCGUUGUCCGGAUUUAUUGGGCGUAAAGAGCUCGUAGGCGGUCUGUCGCGUCGGAUGUGAAAACCCAGGGCUCAACCCUGGGCCUGCAUUCGAUACGGGCAGACUAGAGUACGGCAGGGGAGACUGGAAUUCCUGGUGUAGCGGUGAAAUGCGCAGAUAUCAGGAGGAACACCGGUGGCGAAGGCGGGUCUCUGGGCCGUAACUGACGCUGAGGAGCGAAAGCGUGGGGAGCGAACAGGA